ACACACACACACACACACACACACACACACACACACACACACACACACACACAAGCAACGUUUCCGAGACCAGUUAUUUUUAUCUCCAUCCCUUCCAAUGGCACACGAAUGACCUCUCUCUAUCACCCCCGCGCGUUGGUAGAGUCCAGAUCAGAACAUCAUGGCGAUUGAUGGAGGGGGGAGGAACUGUGGUGUCCAUGAGCUCAUCUGUGCUAGAAGAGUUUCUCCCGAGGUGCUUGGCGCGUUGUCCUCCCUCGUGGCCUUUGCGGUGCUGAUGCUGAUCUUUUUCGUCUACCUCAGCAACAAGCUGUCAGCGCAGAGUGCCUCCAGCCUCCCUGUUCUGGACAGCCCCACAGGGGACCAACAAGGUGCCCGCACACACUCCUCUCCACUCCACUGGUGGUGGCACUGAGGGCCACGCCCACUCAGAAACAGGGAGGGGCCUACGCUCGACUAAGUGGGACCUUAUGAUUUCAGGAUGACUAUUGUUUCCUUUUUAUUUGAUUUGUGUAUUUCAAUUGAAAUACACUCUAAAGCAAUCGCAUUAUUUACGGUAAAUCACUAAAAUGUUUCAAAUGUGUUUUUAAUAAGUUUACGUUUUGCAUGAACCUAUAAGCUUUUUAUGUUUUAAUUUCAAACAUGCACACAGCGACGUAAGGCAUGGCGAUGCCACGCGGUGACGCCGACCUGCCGUCGGGCACCUGUGAUGCUCGACUAGCGUGUGCUAUAGCCCGUUGUCGGGCGACAACCACGACGACCACAAAGGCAAGGCCGGGGGGCGGGCGGGGAUCUUCACCAUGGCCUUCUUCAAGAGCUUCCAGCAGAACCUGCCCACCGUCAACAUCACCUCCCUGCUGGACUCGGUGAGCAGCCGCGUGGACGACCUGGCCACCGCCGUCAGCGACGCCACCUACAACGUCAGCGACCAGCUGACGGAGCAGGUCAGCACCAUCAUCGGCAAGGUGCAGGACGAGGAGGAGGACGGCGAGGACGGGGGCGGAGGCGAG
ensembl:lncRNA